AUCAGAACAAGUAACCUUUAAUAUAUCACAAUGGUUGUGUUGAAGGAUCGUGAUAAAAUGUAUUUUAUUAAAAUAUUAAAAAGUUAAGGUGAGCGAAUAUUAUUUAUUACUACAGCGGUUGAGGCAGUCAUAGUAAUAUAGUUUUAUCAAAGGUAUAUUUUAUAUUAGUGAAUGUUAUUCUCUUGCCAUUUGAGAACGAUCAUGGUUUUUUU
rnacentral:lncRNA from 1 species